AUACGGAGGGGGCUAGCGUUGUUCGGAAUUACUGGGCGUAAAGCGCGCGUAGGCGGUUUGGUCAGUCGGAUGUGAAAGCCCCAGGCUCAACCUGGGAAUGGCAUUCGAUACUGCCUGACUAGAGUAUGGUAGAGGGAAGUGGAAUUUCCGGUGUAGCGGUGAAAUGCGUAGAUAUCGGAAGGAACACCAGUGGCGAAGGCGACUUCCUGGGCCAAUGCUGACGCUGAGGUGCGAAAGCGUGGGGAGCAAACAGGAUUAGAAACCCUGGUAGUCC
rnacentral:rRNA from 1 species